rnacentral:snRNA from 1 species
GUGCUCUCUUUGGCAGCAGGUAUACUAAAAUUGGAAUGAUACACAGAAGAUUAGCAUGGCCCCUGUGCAAAGAUUACAUGCAAAUUUGUAAAGCAUUCCAUAUUUAA